GGCCUGGAGGAGAAGGAGAAUGCAAAAUGGAAGCGCGAGAUGGAAAUCGUCUCCUGCUGGGAAAGGGCAAGGCCACCCCAGACCUUGGGAGGAGGAGGACUCCACUUCCAGCCCAUCUACAGAGAGGGGUCAAAACAGCUUCUUGGUCUUGUCCCUCAUUGGAAAACUUCUAUACUGACACUGAGCCCCUCCGAAAUUGCCCAUGAGGGAGAACUUCAUGUAAUCUGACUGAGACAGGCUGCAGAGAUUGAUGGGAUGUGCUGAGCAGCAUCCUGGAAUCACUGACUUGGCCCCAAGUUCCACCGGGAAGCAGAGGGUUGCUGAGGACUAAACGAAGCACGUCGAGAGCAUGGCCUGGCACAGGUGAAGUGCACAGUGGACAGUGGCGAUUGUUCUCAGUCUUGAGAGGGCUGUCUGCACGUGCCGCAGCUUCCGUUCACUGUCAGCUUUAAGGAAAUGCCAGUUAAUCUGUGGGAUGUCCAGAACCGGAGAGUGGGUGAGCCUCAAGACAGGGGCAGAGGAUGGCAGCCUCCCCAGGAAGGGGUCUCCAAUCCCUUUCAGAUUCCCCCAGUGUAGAUACCCAGCAGCACUGCUCAGCUCAUGCUGGUCAGGGGCCGGGGCCCCAGCUGGGCUGGUGCUCCCUGAAGUCAGGGCCUGGCCAAGGCUCACUCCUUUGUGAAGCCCAGACCAAGGCCUGACACACGGCAGAGGCUCAGCAGCAGUUAAAGUGAACGGAGUUGGAUGUCUUAAUAACCAUACACUGGCUAACAUAUGUCCUGUGCAUACCCCAUGUGAGGCUCUGUUCUAAGCACUUUGUAUGUUGCUGAUCUUUGCAACAACUUACAAGGUAAAUAUUAUCCAUUUUAAAAAUGAGGAAGCAGAGAAGCUAAAUAACUUACCCAAGGUCAUACAGCCAGUAAGCGAUGAUGGGGCUGGAAUUUGAACCCAGGCUACCUGGCUCUAGAACCUGCACUUAUUUUUAAUAUUAUUAUUAUUUGCUUGAGGGAGAUUCACCCUGAGCUAACAUCUAUGUCAAUCUUCCUCUAUUUUGUAUGU
rnacentral:lncRNA from 1 species